GAUGAAGAACGUAGCGAAAUGCGAUACGUAAUGUGAAUUGCAGAAUUCAGUGAAUCAUCGAGUCUUUGAACGCAUAUUGCGCUCUCUGGUAUUCCGGAGAGCAUGCUUGUUUGAGUAUCAGUAAACACCUCAACUUCCAUAUCUUUUUUGAAAUGGGAGUUGGACUUGAGUGAUCCCAACGCUUUUCCUCACCGAAAAGUGGCGGGUUACUUGAAAUGCAGGUGCAGCUGGACUUUUCUCUGAGCUAUAAGCAUAUCUAUUUAGUCUGCCUAAAAAACAGAUUAUUACCUUUGCUGCAGCUAACAUAAAGGAGAUUAGUUCUUGUGCUGACUGAUGCAGGAUUCACAAAGACAGGCUUCGGCCGACUUUGUAAACUCGAUCUCAAAUCAAGUAAGACUACCCGCUGAACUUAAGCAUAUCAAUAAGCGGAGGA
rnacentral:misc_RNA from 1 species